ACGGAACGGGAUUAAUAACGCACACUGGCAGCGGGCAUUACAUCACUCAUCACGGUGAGCAAGGCACAGAGUGAAAAAAAACAACAACAAACGUUUUGCUCCUAGAAACAACGGCGGGUUUGGUACACGACCACCGAGUCCCUUCUAAUCAGAACAGAGUGUCUCUGUCGGUGCAGUGCGAGAUGGCUAUAAUCGUGAGAAGACAACUGCCCGCCCGUCUUGCAGACCUGACCCUAUCCUCUCGCUCUGGACCCGCCCGAUGGUAGCAGGCAUUGGCGGCGCCCUCUCCCGCGACCCAGUUCCCACGCCAGCGCGCACGGACAGCCCCUCUCUGUUCCAACGCAAAGGCGACAUACCAACCAGGGGAAAAGGGGCAGCAGCAGUAGUAGGUUGGAUGCGGGUUGUGUGUGCGGUGCUGUGCCUUGGCCUUGUCGGGGCGCUGCAGCGUGAGCAGGUAGCUCAGCAUGCCAUCAAGCUGCAUCGGGGCAGGAGUGCUGUGGCCAAGCACGCUUGGAGCUGGGUGUCUGAUAACUGCCGGCGCCUGGGCAGUCUCAUCCGACAGAAGAACACUGCCAUUAAGAAGCUCGCUGUGGCUGCAGCCGCUGUGGGGCGAGACCACUCCCUCUCAGACCCAGAGAGACUCUUCCAGGUUCACACUCUGGAGGUGUUCCAGAAGGAGCUGAAUGAGAGCGAACGCUCAGUCUUCCAGGCGGUGGUGGGCCUGCAGAGGGCGCUGCAGGGAGACUACAGGGACGUGGUCAACAUGAAGGAGAGCAGCCGUCAGAGACUGGAGGCCCUCAGGGAAGCAGCCAUUAAGGAGGAGCAGGAGUAUGUAAGCUGGUAGCAGCAGAGAAGCACCAGGUGGAGGCUGUGAAGAGUGCCCUGGCCCAGAACAAGACCCUGUCCAUGCUGGAUGAGAUCCUCGAGGACGUCAGGAGAGCUGCUGACCGCCUGGAGGAGGAGAUAGAGGACCACGCCUUCGACAACAAUAAACAGAUGAAUGGAGUGCACGUAGCCAACGUGGAGGCGGUGCUGAGAGUGGAGGAGGAGGAGGAAGACGGAGGGAAAAGAAGAAGGAACGCGUCAAGGAGAGGUGGAGAGGUGGAGGACGACGUGGGGCUGAGCAUGCUCAUCGACUCCCAGAACAACCAGUAUGUUCUGACCAAGCCCAGAGACUCCACCAUGCCCCGCUCUGAUCAACACUUCAUCAAGGACCUGGUCUCCGUAGUGAUGCUGUCUCUGCCAUGUGGUUGGCUGUGCAAUAUGAUGGGCCUGCCCCCCAUGUUUGGUUACAUCGUCUGUGGAGUCCUCCUGGGUCCCUCUGGACUCAACAGCAUCAAGUCUAUGGUGCAGGUAGAGACGCUGGGAGAGUUGGGAGUGUUCUUCACUCUCUUCGUGGUCGGUCUCGAGUUCUCCCCAGAGAGACUUCGGAAGGUGUGGAAGAUCUCUGUGCAGGGUUCAUGCUACCUCAGUCUGUUGAUGGUGGCUACAGGGCUGCUGUGGGGUCAGGUGCUGCAUAUCCGUCCCACCCAGACCGUCUUCAUCUCCUCCUGUCUCUCUCUAUCCUCCACACCACUGGUCUCACGCUUCCUGGCUGGGGGCGCCCGCGCAGAGAAGGACGGGGAGCUGGACUACAGCAGUGUUCUCCUGGGGAUGUUGGUGUCUGUCAGGAUGUUCAGCUGGUUCUGUUCUGUGUGUCUCUUUGUUCUGUGUUGUGAGGCUGGUGUUCUGUGUUCUAUCCUGUGUUCUGUAGUGUCCUGUUUGGAGGUCUGCACGUCCUCCUGCUCCUGUCCCAGGUCCUGUUCUCUCUGGCUAUGGUACUACUGCUGUGUGUUCUCCUCAAAUCCUUCCUGAUUGGUCCAUACUACAGGAAGCUCCAUGCUGAGUCUAAAGGCAACAAGGAGAUCCUGGUUCUGGGGACCGCUGCCUUCGUAUUCCUCAUGCUCACCGUGACAGAGUUCUUGGGCAUUUCCAUGGAGCUGGGCUGCUUCCUGGCUGGAGCGCUUCUCUCCUCGCAGGGUCACAUUUGCACCACGGAGGUCAUGGGCUGCAUCGAGCCAAUCAGAGACUUCCUCGCCAUCAUCUUCUUCGCCUCCAUUGGUUUCCAUGUCUUUCCUACCUUUGUCCUGUAUGAACUGACAGUCCUGGUGGUGCUGACUCUCUCACUGGUCAUCAUGAAGUUCCUGAUGGCGGUGCUGGUGCUGUCGGCCAUCUUGCCUAAGGGUUCUCGCCACAUCCGUUGGAUAGUGUCUGCUGGCCUGGCGCAGGUCAGCGAGUUCUCCUUCGUCUUGGGGAGCCGCGCCCGCCGAGCUGGCAUCAUCUCCAGAGAGGUGUACCUGCUGGUUCUCAGUGUCACCACUCUGAGUCUUCUGCUGGCUCCGGUGUUGUGGAGAGCCGCCACACACAAGUGGGUCCCUCGAGCCGAACGCAAGACGCUCGCCCGCCCGCCCCCGCUGCUGCCACACCCAGCAGACUGAAGCCCAUAGGGGCCCUGUAAAAGGGUCAAAGGGUCAAAGGUCAUUCUCCCUCUUUCCAUGGAGAAAAUCCUAAUGACCCAUUAUGUUUGGGUCAUUGGUUGCAUCCAAAAUGGCACCCUGUUCCCAACAUAGAGCCCUGAUCUAAAGUAGUGCACUAUGUAGGGAAUAGGGCUCUGGUCUAAAGGAAGUGCACUAUAUAUAACGAAUAGGGUGCCAUUUGAGAUGGGAUCAUUGUAGAACGGUUUACAUGUCCUCGUUGUUGUCUUGACUGUCCUUCCUCCACUCACGUCCUACAGUAGUUAUGGAGGAAUCCCUGAUGAGACCCUUUUGGUUUGUGACGUCACAAUGAUGGUGAUGACAUAUUCCCCUCAAGGGAAUAUUAUUAGUCUGGGGUUGCAUAUGGAUCAGUUUCAUCCGGACAUAAACCUGGGAGAAAGUCAAGGUUUUAACAGUUCGACUUUCCAUUUAGUACGUUUGAAUGUCAUGCUGAUACUGUAAAGUCUGUGUUCUAACCAAACACGGACACAUAGAGACUGUAUGUGGGUUGUUUAUGUCAGGGCUUUACCUGUAUGUACGUGUUAUUGCACUCCUAUGGCAUCUAAUGCUGUAAAAUGUUUAUUUUUCUUAUGUUUCAGUGACUGUUUCAUAUGAUAAUGGCUUGAUAAUUUUAUUCUGUUUGUAUGGUGUACUGUACUGUAGCCCGACUGGAAGAAAAGACUACAACUAGAAGACUUCCUGCUAAUACAUCAUGCAAGGGAGAAAUAAAGAUAUAGCAUUGUAUUUAUUAGGCCAGUUAUAGUUCGAUUAUGUAUAAAUGUUACAAUGGAAAUAAGGGGGUCAUUCCAAGCACAAUAAAUUCCCAUUUUACAUUAUGUUGUGUAGGUUGGAGUUUGUUUAAUAUUCAACAAAAUACAAAAGUUGUACAUUAUUUAAUAAAAAAAUGUCGUUAUUUAUUAAAAGAUUGGUUUAUUGGU